rfam:Trachymyrmex cornetzi contig54560, whole genome shotgun sequence.
GGGAGGUUUUAGUCGGUAGGCGCCGGACUGAACUUCAGUUCUUGACGGCGAAUCCGAUACUACCCGGGGUGGUUCCCUGGGUGUCUUCUGAAGAUUUCCUUCUC